rnacentral:rRNA from 1 species
AACGAACGCUGGCGGCAGGCCUAAAACAUGCAAGUCGAGCGGGCAUAGCAAUAGUGUCAGCGGGCGGACGGGUGAAUAACACGUGGGAACAUGCCCUUUGGUACGGAACAACUCAGGGAAACUUGAGCUAAUACCGUAUGUGCCGGUAACGGGAAAGAUUUAUCGCCAAAGGAUUGGCCCGCGUCCGAUUAGCUAGUUGGUGAGGUAACGGCUCACCAAGGCGACGAUCGGUAGCUGGUUUGAGAGAACGAUCAGCCACACUGGGACUGAGACACGGCCCAGACUCCUACGGGA